GACGAACGCUGGCGGCGUGCUUAACACAUGCAAGUCGAACGGAAAGGCCCUGCUUUUGUGGGGUGCUCGAGUGGCGAACGGGUGAGUAACACGUGAGUAACCUGCCCUUGACUUUGGGAUAACUUCAGGAAACUGGGGCUAAUACCGGAUAGGAGCUCCUGCUGCAUGGUGGGGGUUGGAAAGUUUCGGCGGUUGGGGAUGGACUCGCGGCUUAUCGGCUGGUUGGUGGGGUAGUGGCUUACCAAGGCUUUGACGGGUAGCCGGCCUGAGAGGGUGACCGGCCACAUUGGGACUGAGAUACGGCCCAGACUCCUACGGGAGGCAGCAGUGGGGAAUAUUGCACAAUGGGCGGAAGCCUGAUGCAGCAACGCCGCGUGCGGGAUGACGGCCUUCGGGUUGUAAACCGCUUUCGCCUGUGACGAAGCGUGAGUGACGGUAAUGGGUAAAGAAGCACCGGCUAACUACGUG
rnacentral:rRNA from 1 species